CUGCUUUUUCCUGGGUCUGCGGGUCACGCUGCCCAACCCCCCCCCUCCUCCCCGCCGGUUGGCUCACCUGCCUGGCACGGCGGAAACAAGACCCCGGAAAGGGUGCGUAGGAAGACUCGUUUAGGGUUGGAGAGAAAUUAAGCCAUAAAGACGGCUUUGAACAUUCUUUCUUCUGGAUCGGCGCGGCGCCCCCCAGUGUUCCUGUGUCGAUUCCCAACCGCGCUGUUCUAUGCUGUAGUCACUGACCAUGUUUGCUCAUCUUAAUUUGCGUUAACUGAAGUUUAAAUCCAGUUCCUCCGCUAUCACAGAGCCACGAAGGACACCCUGAAGUAGGGUUAGGAUCGCUGUGAGAACUCUUAAAAUUACAGUGACUGGCUGGAGUAUAAAGACCCUAGAUUUACCAGAACAUGAGACGGUUAGCAGCACUCAGCUUUCAUGGGGUUCCUUUGACUUGGGAGCCAGCACAACCAGGCCUUAAUGUUUGCUUGAAAGGUGCACUGGGGGCCCAGGGGAUGGCAAGUGGGGUUCACCUGCCCUGCCCAGGGCUGAGGCACGUGUGAGACAUCCCGGCCAGUUCCUGCCGCAGGACUCUUGGAGGAAGCAGGGCAGCGGUGUGGUUGGCCGUUCCCACACCUGCUUGUGUGCCAGGCAGUUGGGGGAUCCAGAGGGUUGCCGAGGCUGGCUGUUCUCAGACAAGAGCAGGCAGGUCCCAACUCUCCUCCUGUGUAGUGCUGCUGCUCUGCCUGCUGGCAGCUGCCCAUGACUCAGACCCUAGAUGGAAGCCUGCUGGGUCCCUGGGUGCUCCCUCUCAGAAGGCCUAGAAGUCUGAAAACAAACGCCUUCUUUAGGACCGAGCUCUGAACGUGUGUUCAUACUUGAGUAGGAAGACCACUGAAAGCCAUUUCCCAGGCCGGGAAGUUUUCAGGCCACCUUCAUUUUGGUGAUGUUAUAAUCUGGAGAGUUACACUUUCAUUCUAUUUUCAGUCAUGUAGAGUGUACUCGGGCCAGUGAUGAAAAAGUCACUGUAAAGAUUAAAACUGUUGAGCCUG